rnacentral:rRNA from 1 species
CCAGACUCCUACGGGAGGCAGCAGUGAGGAAUAUUGGUCAAUGGCCGAGAGGCUGAACCAGCCAAGUCGCGUGAGGGAUGACGGCCCUACGGGUUGUAAACCUCUUUUGUCGGGGAGCAAAGAGAGUCACGUGUGGCUCAUUGAGAGUACCCGAAGAAAAAGCAUCGGCUAACUCCGUGCCAGCAGCCGCGGUAAUACGGAGGAUGCGAGCGUUAUCCGGAUUUAUUGGGUUUAAAGGGUGCGUAGGCGGAAUAUCAAGUCAGCGGUAAAAAUUCGGGGCUCAACCCCGUCGGGCCGUUGAAACUGAUGUUCUUGAGUGGGCGAGAAGUAUGCGGAAUGCGUGGUG